rnacentral:lncRNA from 10 species
AAGAAGGUGCCAUCUAGGAAGCAGGAAGCAGGGCCUGACCAGACACCAAAUCUGCUGGGGCCUUAGUCUUGAAUUUCCAGCCUCCAUAACUGUGCAAAAUCCAUUUCUGUUGCUUAUAAGCUACCCAGCUUAUGGGAUUUUGUUUAGCAGCCCAAAUGGACUAAGACAGUGGCAUAAGUGGAAAUAAACUCAAGCUGAUGCUUCAAAAACGAGAAGGACCAUGGAGCACUUUAGAGACUAUCUUUGGAACACAUAAUCCUCAGUUGGUGGGGCAGGCGUGGAACAGCAGUGUUGCGGUAGUCCGUGUAUCCAAAGAGCUCUUGGGGAAGGGUUUCAAACAGGAAAGCCUUUCUUGUUAUUAGCCUCUGUUUUGAAUAAUGCAUCUAAGAUAAAUGUGACAGCAACAAAAUGUCAUAGAAAUUGAACAGUCUGGGGGUC